AUGUCAUAUAGGAGCAAUAACCCUGAGAUCUCAUCGUUUGCCUCUAGUUAUCCAAUGCAGGGAUUUAGGUAUGAAGAGGAGAGCCACAACUAUGCUCUACAGCAGAUUUAUUCAGCUCCUACUCAUAUACCUCAACACCAGGACAUGUUGCCAAUGGAGUUAAAUGGUCCUCCAUUUGGUCAACCAACAUCUUCAACACAAGUGCCCACACAAGAUGACUUUGAUGAUAUAGACAAGCUCACAUUGCUUGGUCUCGAGUUCACUUGGAGUGCCGAAGAUGAUCCAAUUAGGCCGGUGAUACUAGAGGAAAUGAAGAAGAUUAAGAGUGGAAAGGAGCUAGUGGAAGAAGUAAGGAAGAUUGAGAAGAACAUCAACGCUGGCAGCACUAUUUCUUCACAGCUAGAGCUGAGUGUUGCUGAGAUAUCCAUUGAUACAUGGAGGUUCCAACACCUUCACAUUCAGCAGAGCAAGAUAGCGAGAGUCUAG
rnacentral:rRNA from 1 species